GCCCGGCUGGCGCAAUGGCUAGCGCACUCGACUUCUAUUGCGGGGUUCAUGGAUUUGACCCCCAGAGAUCGAGAGGCUGUGGGUUCGAGCCCCACGUCGGGUA